ACUGCUCAGUAACACGUAGCUAACCUGCCCUCGGGACGAGAACACCCCCGGGAAACUGGGGCUAAUUCUCGAUAGGCGAAGAACUCUGGAAUGAGUCUUUACCUAAAAGACGUUUAGAUCAUGCUUUUAGGCGUCGCCCAAGGAUGGGGCUGCGACCGAUCAGGUAGUUGGUGAGGCAAUGGCUCACCAAGCCUUUAACCGGUGCGGGCCGUGGGAGCGGGAGCCCGGAGAUGGGCACUGAGACAAGGGCCCAGGCCCUACGGGGCGCAGCAGUCGCGAAAACUUUGCAAUAAGCGAAAGCUUGACAGGGCUAUCCCGAGUGCCAUCCGCUGAGGAAGGCUUUUACCCAGUCUAGUAAGCUGGGGGAAUAAGGAGAGGGCAAGUCUGGUGUCAGCCGCCGCGGUAAUACCAGCUCUCCGAGUGGUGUGGAUGUUUAUUGGGCCUAAAGCAUCCGUAGCUGGCUGAGUUAGUCCCCUGUUAAAUCCACCGAAUCAAUCGUUGGAUUGCGGGGGAUACUGCUCGGCUAGGGGACGGGAGAGGCAGACGGUAUUUCCGGGGUAAGGGUGAAAUCUUAUAAUCCCGGGAAGACCACCAGUGGCGAAGGCUGUCUGCUAGAACGCGCCCGACGGUGAGGGAUGAAAGCUGGGGUAGCGAACCGGAUUAGAUACCCGGGUAGUCCCAGCCGUAAACGAUGCAGGCUAGGUGUUUGGGCGGCCACGUGCCGCUCUAGUGCCGCAGGGAAGCUGUUAAGCCUGCCGCCUGGGGAGUACGAUCGCAAGAUUGAAACUUAAAGGAAUUGGCGGGGGAGCAC
rnacentral:rRNA from 1 species